GGUCCCGUAGCUCAACUGGAUAGAGCACCUCACUUCUAAUGAGGAUGUUGGGGGUUCGAGUCCUCCCGGGAUCG
rfam:Celeribacter marinus strain IMCC 12053, complete genome.